rnacentral:rRNA from 1 species
AUUGAACGCUGGCGGCAUGCCUUACACAUGCAAGUCGAACGGCAGCGGACCUUCGGGUGCCGGCGAGUGGCGAACGGGUGAGUAAUGCAUCGGAACGUGCCAUUGAGUGGGGGAUAACGUAGCGAAAGUUGCGCUAAUACCGCAUAUUCUGUGAGCAGGAAAGCAGGGGAUCGCAAGACCUUGCGCUGAUUGAGCGGCCGAUGUCAGAUUAGCUAGUUGGUGAGGUAAAGGCUCACCAAGGCGACGAUCUGUAGCGGGUCUGAGAGGAUGAUCCGCCACACUGGAACUGAGACACGGUCCAGACUCCUACGGGAGGCAGCAGUGGGGAAUUUUGGACAAUGGGGGGCAACCCUGAUCCAGCCAUGCCGCGUGAGUGAAGAAGGCCU